rnacentral:rRNA from 1 species
CCUACGGGGGGCAGCAGUGAGGAAUAUUGGUCAAUGGGCGGGAGCCUGAACCAGCCAAGUCGCGUGAGGGACGACGGUCCUAUGGAUUGUAAACCUCUUUUGUCGGGGAACAAAGGCGCCCACGGGUGGGCGGAUGAGUGUACCCGAAGAAAAAGCAUCGGCUAACUCCGUGCCAGCAGCCGCGGUAAUACGGAGGAUGCGAGCGUUAUCCGGAUUUAUUGGGUUUAAAGGGUGCGUAGGCGGACAGUCAAGUCAGCGGUAAAAAUGCGGUGCUCAACGCCGUACAGCCGUUGAAACUGGCAGUC